GACGAACGCUGGCGGCGUGCUUAACACAUGCAAGUCGAACGGAAAGGCCCUGCUUUUGUGGGGUGCUCGAGUGGCGAGCGGGUGAGUAACACGUGAGUAACCUGCCCUUGACUUUGGGAUAACUUCAGGAAACUGGGGCUAAUACCGGAUAGGAGCUCCUGCGGCAUGGUGGGGGUUGGAAAGUUUCGGCGGUUGGGGAUGGACUCGCGGCUUAUCAGCUUGUUGGUGGGGUAGCGGCUUACCAAGGCUUUGACGGGUAGCCGGCCUGAGAGGGUGACCGGCCACAUUGGGACUGAGAUACGGCCCAGACUCCUACGGGAGGCAGCAGUGGGGAAUAUUGCACAAUGGGCGGAAGCCUGAUGCAGCAACGCCGCGUGCGGGAUGACGGCCUUCGGGUUGUAAACCGCUUUCGCCUGUGACGAAGCGUGAGUGACGGUAAUGGGUAAAGAAGCACCGGCUAACUACGUG
rnacentral:rRNA from 1 species